rnacentral:rRNA from 1 species
UCGCCUGUUUUACAAAAACAUGUCUACAUGAGGGUGAAUGUAGUCUAGUCUGCCCGCUGACAUAAAUGUUGAAGGGCCGCAGUAUUUUGACUGUGCAAAGGUAGCAUAAUCAUUAGUUUUUUAAUUGGAAGCUUGUAUGAAUGGCUGGACGAGAGAUUGACUGUCUUUUGUGAAGUUUUUGAAGUUAACUUUUAAGUGCAAAGGCUUAAAUGAAUUUGGGGGACGAUAAGACCCUAUAAAUCUUUACAUAGACUUUUUUGUUAUAUUAGUUUAUUAGUUUAUAAUUGGCAAAGAAGAUAAAUGUUUUACUGGGGCGGUAUAUAUAUAUAAGAAACUGUUUAAAGAAAUAACAAUGAUUUUUGAUUAAAUUAAUGGAUCCUUUUUAGAGAUUUAAAGAUAGAGUUACUUUAGGGAUAACAGCGUUAUUUUUUUUAAGAGUUCAUAUCUAAAGAGAAGUUUGCGACCUCGAUGUUGAAUUAAAAUUUCCUUAUGGUUGCAGCAGCUAUGGGGGAGAGUCUGUUCGACUUUUAAAUUUUUACAUGAUUUGAGUUCAGACCGGCGUGAGCCAGAUU